rnacentral:misc_RNA from 1 species
GUAGGUGAACCUGCGGAGGGAUCAUUAGAAAAACGAGUUGCGAGACUCGAAAACCAUCGCGAACAUUACCUCGUCGUCGUUGCUUCGGCGGGCGGCCCCGCGAGGGCGCCCGCCGGAGGAGCGUAAACACUCUGUUUUCUUAGCGCCUCUCUGAGUGGAUACAGCGGAAUAAAUCAAAACUUUCAACAACGGAUCUCUUGGUUCUGGCAUCGAUGAAGAACGCAGCAUCUGACUGACUGGCAGUGUAUCG